rnacentral:lncRNA from 1 species
CUUGGGGAAUCGAUUGUUCAGCAUCAGGGUAGAUCAACAGUUACCAUGAUACACGAGGAAGUCAUAUUCUAGCUAUCACUUCCAAGGACCCUAAAUCAGCUCAGAAGGAGUAUUUUAAUAGGUUUUAAGAAUUAUUUUGUACGCCCGAUGAAGUAGAUACUCGCAUCAUUUUACAUAUGCAUGCUAUUCAUAUACAAAGAGACAAGGUGUGAAAG